rnacentral:lncRNA from 1 species
AUGAAUGACACAAUAACUAUUUGUACUAGGAAGUUCAUGACCAAUCAACUACCUCAGGGAGCACAAACAGUCGUAGAUGUCCUUCACCCUGGAAAGGGAACAGUACCAAAGACAGAAACUUGGGGAAAACUAGCCCAAAUGUACAAAGCCACACCAAUGUCAUCUUUGUAUUUGGAUUCAGAACCCAUUUUGCUGGUGACAAGAUAAAUGGCUUCAGCAUGAUUUCUGAUUCCUUGGAUUAUGCAAUGAAAAAUGAGACCAAACACAGACUUUCAAGACAUGGCCUGUAUGAGAGAAAAAAAGACCCCAAGGAAACAGCAAAAGGAACACAAGAACAGAAUGAAGAAAGUCAGAGGGACUGCAAAGGCUAA